GGACUACUAGGGUUUCUAAUCCCAUUCGCUACCCUGGCUUUCGUGUGUGAGCGUCAGAUUCGGGCCAGUGCGCUGCCUUCGCCUUCGGUGUUCCCCAUGAUAUCAACGGAUUUCACCCCUACACCAUGAGUUCCACGCACCUCUCCCGACCUCAAGUCAUGCCGUUUCGCUCGCAGGCUGGAGGUUGAGCCCCCAGAUUUAACGAACGACUAACAUGACCGCCUUGACACCCUUUACGCCCAGUGAUUCCGGAUAAUGCUUGGGGCCUCUGUAUUACCGCGGCUGCUG
rnacentral:misc_RNA from 1 species